UGGGGAAUAUUGCACAAUGGGCGAAAGCCUGAUGCAGCGACGCCGCGUGAGGGAUGACGGCCUUCGGGUUGUAAACCUCUUUCAGCAGGGACGAAGCGCAAGUGACGGUACCUGCAGAAGAAGCACCGGCUAACUACGUGCCAGCAGCCGCGGUAAUACGUAGGGUGCAAGCGUUGUCCGGAAUUACUGGGCGUAAAGAGUUCGUAGGCGGUUUGUCGCGUCGUUUGUGAAAACCAGCAGCUCAACUGCUGGCUUGCAGGCGAUACGGGCAGACUUGAGUACUGCAGGCGAGACUGGAAUUCCUGGUGUAGCGGUGAAAUGCGCAGAUAUCAGGAGGAACACCGGUGGCGAAGGCGGGUCUCUGGGCAGUAACUGACGCUGAGGAACGAAAGCGUGGGUAGCGAACAGG
rnacentral:rRNA from 1 species